AAACUAAUACGCAAGCUGUGCCAGUGUGUCAGACACCAGAGGGAGAGAGGACAUACUGGAUCUUUCUGGGUAUCAUCAAACUUCUCCAUCCAAGAAUAAGGGACAGCAGCAUCUCUUUGACAUCCAUAGCCCAUUUCUGCUUUGCCAAUAUCACUUGUGCAUCUGGGGCCACCAAUGCAUCCUAUCCUAGCAAGUAUCAAUGGGAAUAAAGAAGAAACUUAGAAAAUGACAAAAUUCAAGAAGAGCUGAAGCUCUGGAGCUAGCUUUGGUGGAGAAAGAAUGAUGGGGGAUGUUGGACUAAGCGAGAAAUGCAUAAGAAGCUGGAAACCAGAAAGCAACGAGACCCACUAACACGGUCUACUCUGGUCGGCCCCUGGGCACAAAGGAGGGUGAAGAAAGGAUGGGAGCAGACAUGGAGGCACCAAUGGAAAGUACCAGAACACUUAAAAAAUUGAACUUUUAUGUUAUUACUCAAUGUUACUUUUAUAUUAUUAAUCAGUAUUUACUGAGCCCAACCCCUAUGAUAGUUCUACAAUGUAUUACUCUUCAAAUCUAAGCUAGACCUGAAAUCCUAUAUUCUGUUUUAAGCUAUUACCUUUCAAUAGGAAAAGAGAGGUGUUGAGUGUCACCUUAAUCCUUCCUGAGAUAAACAUUCAAAUCAAUCUCUCUACAGAUUGCCCAU